CAAGUCGAGCGAGGCGGAGGGGGCAACUCCUCCAGUCGAGCGGCGGACGGGUGAGUAACACGUGGGCAAUCUGCCCGAAAGUGGGGAAUACCCCAGGGAAACUUGGGCUAAUACCGCAUGUGAUCGCGACCUCGAGAGAGGAUGCGAUCAAAGGGGGGUCGCAAGACCUCCCGCUUUCGGAGGAGCCCGCGCCCGAUUAGCUAGUUGGUGAGGUAACGGCUCACCAAGGCUUCGAUCGGUAGCCGGCCUGAGAGGGUGAUCGGCCACACCGGAACUGAGACACGGUCCGGACUCCUACGGGAGGCAGCAGUGGGGAAUCUUGCGCAAUGGGCGAAAGCCUGACGCAGCAACGCCGCGUGAAGGAUGAAGGUCCUUGGAUUGUAAACUUCUGUCGGCCGGGAAGAAAUUCAUCGGGGUCAAUACCCCCGGUGAUUGACUGUACCGGCAAAGGAAGCCCCGGCUAACUCUGUGCUAGCAGCCGCGGUAAUACAGAGGGGGCAAGCGUUAUUCGGAAUUAUUGGGCGUAAAGGGCGCGUAGGCGGUCCUUCAAGUCUCUCGUGAAAUCCCUCGGCUUAACUGAGGACGUGCGGGAGAUACUGCUGGGCUUGAGUCCGGAAGAGGGUGGUGGAAUUCCCAGUGUAGCGGUGAAAUGCGUAGAUAUUGGGAGGAACACCGGUGGCGAAGGCGGCCACCUGGGCCGGAACUGACGCUGAGGCGCGAAAGCGUGGGGAGCAAACGGGAUUAGAUACCCCGGUAGUCCACGCCGUAAACGAUGGGCACUUGGUGUCGCGGGUAUCGACCCCUGCGGUGCC
rnacentral:rRNA from 1 species